GUAACUUGAUCAUAACAUUACACUAAAUCAUAACAGAUAAAUAAAUAUGUAGUAUUUAUUACUCAGUUUAUCAAAUAAUAACAUUAUAGAUAAAUUAAAAAGUGACAUGUCCAUGAUAUCAAAAUUUUUAAAUUAUUUGAGACUACUUUAUUUUGAACAUUAUCUAAACAUAGAUAAAAUAAUAUUUGAGAAAAAGGUUGAUGGAGACGAAAGUGCACUGGAAAGGAACAAAUACUUUGGCUUUUCAACGCCACAGAAGCUCGGGAAAACGUCAACGUCAUGAAGGGAUUGCGGCUAGCCAGACGAGUUUAGAGGUAUCAAGUAAUUAGUUUCAUUGAUGUCUAAAAAAUUUUAAUUUAAAUUACUGAUGUAACUCCAAUAAAUUUUAUUACUGAUCUUGGGU